CCGAACACGAGUAUGUCAUUGACCGCGAAAGAGAAUUCCACGCUAUCAAGUACCUUUUGGCUGCAGGAUUUGGUGCGAAGUUGCUCGCGGUUUUUGGGAAUGGCAUGGUUCAGUCAUUUAUAAAUGCUCGUACACUCACUACAGAAGGUAUG